AGGCGCGUAGCUCAGUUGGUUAGAGCACCACCUUGACAUGGUGGGGGUCGGUGAUUCGAGUUCACUCGUGCCUACCA
rnacentral:tRNA from 1 species